AUCUUGACUCUGAAAUCAGAUAAGAAAAUAGAUGCUAAGAUAGUAAUAGAUAGGGUAUUAUUUUAUAUGAUUAUGAAAAAGUGAGGUUUUUAGCAUGUGUCAUGUGUGUUUGUGUUUUCACUUUUACUUAAACUAUGUUUGGAUUAAUGAAGUUACAUAUUCAUGCGUGAUGUUUGUCUCUGAUGUUUCAUUAGCUUUAAAUGCAAAAUUUAAGGUUGUUGGUGCCAUUAGUUUUGGUUAUUAGUAUAUGAGAUCACCUACCAAAAGUUUUUUUGAUUUAAUGAAAUAGUUUUAGAUUUGAUGAAAUUUUAUUUGGUUGUUUAUUUUUUCUGUGCUUACUUUAUCCUGCAAAAUGUUCAUGAAGUUAGUGCCAUCCGAAAAUUAAGUACAGAAUUGAUAGAAUAUUUUAUUGUAAUGGCUUGAUACAAAAUAGAAGAUCAUAUUAGGUCGUAGUUUGUAUUGAGAUAAACAAUUUUGUUGUUUGUUCCGUUUGAUUUAUAGCAAAAUUUUAAGUUUUUAAGUGCAUUAUUUGUAACCGUGCUUUGGUUAAUAAUCAAUUUAUAUGAUACCCUUUUUUUUCUUUGAAGCCAACAAGAAGACGAACGUUAAAUUAUCUCUGAUGGAGUAUCUUCAGUGACAAGUUAUUAGUCUCUUUCAUUUCACCUUAUGCUACUUUUAAAACCCCAAUCUCUUCUUUUUUUUUUUUUCCAAUUGCAUCCUAGUUAUAUUGUAGGUAAUUUGUUUUCUCUGAUAUUUGUUCUAUUUUGGGUUUGAGCAAAGUAACUUGCUUUUUCAGAAGACAAAGUGAUUGAUGAUAUGUCUGAACUGGCUCUGUCAUUAACCUUGUGACCAUUGUUAGCAUUGGACUCCUGUUUCUUUAAAUUUGAUUAAUUUAUUGAUUUGGUGUAUUCUUUUAAUUCUUUAGGCUAUUUGCAUCUUAAUAGUGAAGAUUAACAAGGUAAAAAAAUAGAGCUUUAGCCCGAGAAGUGGAACAAAUGUUCUAUACUAUUGUAGUAUUGUUGACUCAAUAUUAGUCAUUGCCAGGUGGAAUUGUAGUAUUGGAAAAGUUUGAUGCUCUGCACAUCGGUCAUCGAGAACUCGCAAUUCAAACAUCAAGGGCUAGUCCUCCGUUUCUUUUAUCAUUUGUUGGAAUGACUAAAGUACUUGGAUGGAAUCUAGAUUGAAACAAGUCAAGCAUGAAAUGUGAUUUAGCAUAGGAUCAUAGCAUAGGUGAACCCUUUUGCGGCUCUCAGCUCUUCCACAUAUUUCAUCUUUAGCUAUGGAGCACAUGCAAGGUCCACUAUUGGAAGACUUUCUAGGACAAUCAUUGUUUUUUUUAUUUUGAAAAUGGAUCUGGCAAAAAUCCUGACAUAGAAAUUAUUAGCAGUCAAGAGGAAUUGAAAUUCUAUUACCAGGAAAAAUACAGAGGCAAAGCAGUGGAAUGGACCUCCGAUCAAUGGGGGCUGAAGGAUCAUGUAAUCCUCCUAAGAUUCGUCAAAAUGUGUCUGCCUCCGCAAAUAUUAGUAGCAUUGCCUUGCAAAGCAAUUCUACAAAUUCAGCUCCUCUGAAGCGCACAACCAGCUGGUCUUUUGAUGAGAAGCUUCUUAUACAGACCCUUUGCAAGGUUUUGCUUUAACAAAUUCUAAAUUCAGGUUCUUGUAGCUUAAUUUGUCACGGCCUUUGCUCAAGGCUUGUGAGGCCUUGGGGUAUGCUAAACCAACGCCAAUUCAGAUAUUUUCAUCGUGCAUCAGGAGAGAUGUAUGUCAUAUCACGAGCCUUGGCUAAAUUUGUAUCAAUAAACAGAUUUGUUCUCUGAACCCAUGCCCAAGAUGACGUUAGUGCUGGAUCUUGGUUAAUUAAAAAUUGGGAACUUUGCUUCAUUCUCUCUGCUGUAUUAUUGUAUUGCAUCUGUGCUAGGCUCUAUUUGUUUACUUUUGAUCAUUAAUUAUGUGCUAAUCAUUGAUAUAACAUCGACUUAUAGUAUUUGUGUU